rnacentral:rRNA from 1 species
CGCGUAGGCGGCUUUAUAAGUCUGGAGUGAAAGUCCUCUUUUCAAGGGAGGAAUUGCUUUGGAAACUAUAGAGCUUGAGUGCAGGAGAGGUUAUCGGAAUUCCCGGUGUAGCGGUGAAAUGCGUAGAUAUCGGGAGGAACAUCGGUGGCGAAGGCGACCUACUGGGCACCAACUGACGCUGAGGCUCGAAAGCAUGGGUAGCAAACA